rnacentral:rRNA from 1 species
UACGUAGGGUGCGAGCGUUUAAUCGGAAUUACUGGGCGUAAAGCGUGCGCAGGCGGUUCGUUGUGUCGGUGGUGAAAUCCCCGGGCUUAACCUGGGAAUGGCCAUGGAAACUGGCGAACUUGAGUACAGAAGAGGAAAGCGGAAUUCCACGUGUAGCGGUGAAAUGCGUAGAGAUGUGGAGGAACACCAGUGGCGAAGGCGGCUUUCUGGUCUGUAACUGACGCUGAGGCGCGAAAAGCGUGGGGAGCAAACAAG